GAUCAUGGCUCAGGACGAACGCUGGCGGCGUGCCUAAUACGUGCAAGUAGAACGCUGAAGGAGGAGCUUGCUUCUCUGGAUGAGUUGCGAACGGGUGAGUAACGCGUAGGUAACCUGCCUGGUAGCGGGGGGAUAACUAUUGGAAACGAUAGCUAAUACCGCAUAAGAGUAGAUGUUGCAUGACAUUUACUUAAAAGGUGCAAUUGCAUCACUACCAGAUGGACCUGCGUUG
rnacentral:rRNA from 1 species